CCUACGGGAGGCAGCAGUGGGGAAUAUUGGACAAUGGGCGAAAGCCUGAUCCAGCAAUUCCGCGUGUGUGAAGAAGGCCUUCGGGUUGUAAAGCACUUUAGUGGGGGAAGAAACAGCUUGGCCACACCAAGCCUUGACGGUACCCCAAGAAUAAGCACCGGCUAACUCUGUGCCAGCAGCCGCGGUAAUACAGAGGGUGCAAGCGUUAAUCGGAUUUACUGGGCGUAAAGGGUGCGUAGGUGGCUAUUUAAGUCGGAUGUGAAAGCCCGGGGCUCAACCUCGGAAUUGCAUUCGAUACUGAGUGGCUAGAGUUCGGUAGAGGGCGGCGGAAUUUCCGGUGUAGCGGUGAAAUGCGUAGAUAUCGGAAGGAACAUCAAUGGCGAAGGCAGCCGCCUGGGCCUGGACUGACACUGAGGCACGAAAGCGUGGGUAGCAAACAGGAUUAGAUACCCUGGUAGUCCACGCCGUAAACGAUGAGAACUUGACGUUGGUUCGUUUUACGAAUCGGUGUCGCAGCUAACGCGAUAAGUUCUCCGCCUGGGGNGGUACGGCGCGAGUAGAACGUAACGAAGAAGUUAGACGCGUUGAGACGUUGCCGACGGCGACGACGAGGGAGGAGG
rnacentral:rRNA from 1 species